rnacentral:rRNA from 1 species
UACGUAGGUGGCAAGCGUUAUCCGGAAUUAUUGGGCGUAAAGAGCGCGCAGGUGGUUAAUUAAGUCUGAUGUGAAAGCCCACGGCUUAACCGUGGAGGGUCAUUGGAAACUGGUUGACUUGAGUGCAGAAGAGGGAAGUGGAAUUCCAUGUGUAGCGGUGAAAUGCGUAGAGAUAUGGAAGAACACCAGUGGCGAAGGCGGCUCUCUGGUCUGCAACUGACGCUGAGGCUCGAAAGCAUGGGUAGCGAACAGG